UGAGGAAUAUUGGUCAAUGGUCGCAAGACUGAACCAGCCAUGCCGCGUGCAGGAAGACGGUCCUAUGGAUUGUAAACUGCUUUUAUACAGGAAGAAACCCCUCCCACGUGUGGGAGCUUGACGGUACUGUAGGAAUAAGGAUCGGCUAACUCCGUGCCAGCAGCCGCGGUAAUACGGAGGAUCCAAGCGUUAUCCGGAAUCAUUGGGUUUAAAGGGGUCCGUAGGCGGUCUUAUAAGUCAGUGGUGAAAGCCCAUCGCUCAACGAUGGAACUGCCAUUGAUACUGUAAGACUUGAAUGCUUAGGAAGUAACUAGAAUAUGUAGUGUAGCGGUGAAAUGCUUAGAUAUUACAUGGAAUACCAAUUGCGAAGGCAGGUUACUACUAAGUGAUUGACGCUGAUGGACGAAAGCGUGGGGAGCGAACAGGAUUAGAUACCCUGGUAGUCCACGCCGUAAACGAUGGAUACUAGCUGUUCGGCGCAAGUUGAGUGGCUAAGCG
rnacentral:rRNA from 1 species